UGGACCAAUGAUGAGUACCAUGGGGUAUCUGAAACAGGAUUUUUUGAUUAAACCCAUAUGCAACUCUGAGGUCCGU
ensembl:snoRNA